AAAAACAUUGCCUCUUGAAAACAUUAGAGGUCCAUCCUGCCCGGUGGCAUACGUGUUAAACGGCCGCGGUAGCCUGACCGUGCUAAGGUAGCAUAAUCAUUUGCCUUUUAAUUGAUGGCUGGUAUGAACGGACAAAUGAGAGCCAAGCUGUCUCUUCCUCAAAAAUAUAAACUAACCUUUAGGUGAAAAGGCCUAAAUAGAUUUAUAGGACAAGAAGACCCUGUCAAGCUUCACUGAUAUAUACUAACAUUCAAUAUUUUAUAUAAUUCCUUAGCAUAAUUCAGUUUAGUUGGGGCGACUGGGGAUCAACACUAACAUCCCCCCUCCUAAUAAAGGAAAUUUAUCCAUUUUUAUCUGAUCCUAAAUCGAUCAAGAGAAAAGCUACUGCAGGGAUAACAGGCUAAUUUUCCUUAAGAGCCCAAAUCGAAAGGAAAGUUUGGCACCUCGAUGUUGGCUUAAGACACCCAUAAAGUGCAGCAGCUUUAAACGGUAGGUUUGUUCACCCUUUAAAGUCUUACGUGAUCUGAGUU
rnacentral:rRNA from 1 species